rnacentral:misc_RNA from 1 species
GAAGAAGUAACCAUUGGCAUCGCAAAAGUUCAUUCCUCUUUAUCCUUUUCUUAGGGUGCAAUUGACAAAUCCCAAACAUUCCUGCUUAAAUACAAUAUAAUAAGCUCUUUCCCUAUCAGCAGAAGUAGAUUAUUAGAAUGCUUCUACAUAAGAUACCCUAGUUUAUGUCGGACAUCCUUUGUCCGAAAAAUGGCCCGACAAGUCCUAUUUUCUAGCAGAAUGGUCAGCACCAGAAGCAUGAUUGCGAUUCAAGUAGCGCACAACAGCGUCUUCAGUCCAAGACUGAUUGUAGAAUUCAGAACGCCUCUCCAUUUCUGAAUCACGGGUCGAAUCAUCAGAAACAAGCUUAAGAUCCCUGGCUUGAGAUGCAACUAAUGCAUUAACAAAAUCGGUAGGUGACUGACUAAAUCCCAGGAAGAAAGCUCGCCUUCUCUGAUGUUCAUGGAUUUGCUUUAGAGCGGUGGAAAUAGCUUCAUCGUAUGCAUCAAUCUCCUUGUUCUUAUCUAAAUCAGAUAAGAAUGUGGAGAAUUCCUUCUGCAAUGUGAAGGGAACAUCAACCAGUACAUCAUAACAAGUGUUCCCAGCUGGGCUACUUCCAGAUAGCUUAAUCCUGUGCUCCAGGUGAAUAGGUUGAGGGGCAGUCAGAUGCGGAUGAAUCUUUUGGGAAACCAGGGAAAAUUUCAACUUUUCUUCUCCAAAAAUCUUCCUUAGAGGAGGAUCACAAGUGAACGAGGAGGUGUCAUGGCAUAUCUGUAGCUUCUUAGUUUUUAUGUAGUACCAAAGAGCAGCUAAAACUUUAGCUCGUGUCUCAACCUCAAUGCCAAGAACUUCUUGCAAUGCCGGGGAUAGUUUAAAUUUCUCAGGCAUAUAAUUCAUCUCCAGUCUGAUGAUUGCAGUAAGCUCCUUAUCCCCUUUCCUCUUAAUCUCAAAACCCUCGUGAAGAGCUGGUGAUCGAGAACUAUCCCACAAAAUUACAUGGUUUUCAGGAUAUAGACUUUGAUCCAAGUAAACAGUAACUUUCUUGAAGAAAGAUGAGAACUUGGGGCAAGCAACACCCAAUUUCUGCUCCCUUUCAGAUGCUUGAGAACCCGACCCACCCCCCAAGAUCCUUCCGAUAAUCUUAAGAGACCAUGAAGCUGGCUCAGCCGAAUCGCUGUCCGGAUUAGCUGGUGUCUGAUUCGCAAAAGUAUUGAAUACAUAAAUUCUGAGAGUUCUCUGGAAACGCGGAGGACUCUUAAGGGAUUCCAACAUGUCAAUCUUCUUUCUAGAAAGAAGAGCAUCUACACGACCCUCGAAUUCAAGCAACUGAGAGUAAAGUGCUGACUCGGGCAAACUCGC